UUACUCUUUGGACAAAAUAAAAAUCUACUUUACUCUCAGUCUUUCUAUAGAAUACAUGGGUGAUAGUGCUUCGUUGGAUUCAAACAACGACUCGCAGUUGCCCCUAAGAAGCACACAUACGAGUAUUAGGAACACACAAAUUUACAAUCGGGAAGAAGAUGAUGUGCCAAGAAAUGUGGAAGGAAUUGUAAAUGAGGUUGCUGACGACCAUGAAGACGACGGUAGUAUCGUACAUGAUGGUACAACGCGUGGGUUAAACAGACCAAACUGGGCAACAGAGAGCAUUGAGGUGGUGGAGUUUAAUGCAAGGGGUCAAGCCAUUGCCCCAAAAGAAACAGUAGCUCGAUGGCAAAGGUUUCUAGGGCUAAUGGUUGUGGACCAAGGUUUGUUUCCAAUUGAUGUACUAGAUUGGCGACAUUUUGAACGUGGAACGACACUAGGCGAUGCAUGGAAACGAAUCAAGAGGACAAUUAAUUGGUUUGAUCUGGAAACUAAAAAGAAGGCACCCAAAAUAUGGGCCGUGGCUGAGUAGAAACUCAAUCGUCUUUGGAAGAAACACAAGGGCAAUCUAAAAAAGAAUUGGUAUGAUCCUUUUUUCAAUUCAUAGGAGCGAUGGAAUUGCACUGAUGACAGGGUUAGCAAAGAACAAUGGAGGUUAUUGGUGAAAUAUUGGGAGACUGGUCCAAUGCAGAAACGAUCAAUCACAAAUAAAUGUAAUUGUGCGAAGCGCAGGAUGCACUACACAACGGGGACAAAACUAUAUGCACAAGUGAGGAAACAAUAUGAAACAAUAUGAAGAUAUGAAUUCAAAGAUCACUGAUAUUAUGGAUAAAAAGAUGCAAAACCAACUACCAGAUGAAGUAACAGCAGAGGAAAUCAAUAUUGUAUAUUCUGAAGUGCUUGGAGAGAGAAGUGUAAUCAGGUGAGAGGAUAUGGCAUAGGGGUGAGACCUAAGGAUGUGUCAGGUGUGUUGACAGAAAGAAGAGGUUUGAGGCUAGAGUUUGAUGAUAUGCGUGAGUCUUACGAAGAAAGAAUAGUGUAGGUUACAAAGGAUGCAAAUGAAAGGGAAGAGAGAAUUAAAAGGAAAAUGAGAGAAGAUGGGAGAGCCACAACGGAAAAGGUGAAACGUUUGGAGCAACUUUUAACAAAACAACAAGCCAUCAUGGAAAAGGUUUUAGCUAGUGUAAGCAAUGUUUCUAACAUUGAUUCUGAAUUGCUACUGGGACAUGUUUCACCAAGCACUCCACAAGUAGCACUUGAUUCUAAUAGAUUGGAAGAAAUUAUGAGUGCAACCUUACAUUCACCUUACAUGCCAAGCCAAACAUUAAUUGAUCAAGAUGGUUAUAAACCAGUACUAAAGGGGAUAGAAGAAAAGGAGCAUGCAAGGAAUGUAGGCCUUGUGUUCGGAGUUUGAAAAAUAUGGUUAGAGUUUAUGGUAUCUAGACCAUGCAAUACCAUUAUGCUUUUGUUAACACCAUGCUUAUCAACAUAUAUGUGUUGUGGUAUUAUGAAAUUUAUAAUACCAAAAUACAUGUUAGUUUGGUAUUUUGAUCAUAGCUGUUUCGUUGGUUCUAAGGUAUGCCAUUUCCUUUUUGAAGACCAAGUUCAAGUGGGAUGAAAUUAGUUAUUUUGAAAGUAGAUCCCAAAUGAUUAUAUAUUUAGU